GAGUACGCGUGGGAUCUACCUUUUGCUACGGAAUAACUCAGGGAAACUUUGUGCUAAUACCGUAUGUGUCCUUCGGGGGAAAGAUUUAUCGGCAAAGGAUGAGCCCGCGUUGGAUUAGCUAGUUGGUGGGGUAAAGGCCCACCAAGGCGACGAUCCAUAGCUGGUCUGAGAGGAUGAUCAGCCACACUGGGACUGAGACACGGCCCAGACUCCUACGGGAGGCAGCAGUGGGGAAUAUUGGACAAUGGGCGCAAGCCUGAUCCAGCCAUGCCGCGUGAGUGAUGAAGGCCCUAGGGUUGUAAAGCUCUUUCACCGGUGAAGAUAAUGACGGUAACCGGAGAAGAAGCCCCGGCUAACUUCGUGCCAGCAGCCGCGGUAAUACGAAGGGGGCUAGCGUUGUUCGGAUUUACUGGGCGUAAAGCGCACGUAGGCGGACUUUUAAGUCAGGGGUGAAAUCCCAGAGCUCAACUCUGGAACUGCCUUUGAUACUGGAAGUCUUGAGUAUGGUAGAGGUGAGUGGAAUUCCGAGUGUAGAGGUGAAAUUCGUAGAUAUUCGGAGGAA
rnacentral:rRNA from 2 species